ACAGUGACAUAAAAAGAACCGAACAGAAACUUCAAGCAACCGCCGAGGAUUAUCACGUCUUUUUGUGUUGAUUAAAUAAACAAUUAAAUACUCGAAGAGUAUAAAGUUUCAGUACAAAAAAUAAAAACUAAAUUAAAAAUAAAAUGGGUGUCGAUAUCUUGGGUUUCGCGUACGCCGCUACCGUCGCUGCCGGUGGAAUUAUGGGUUACGCUAAAGCAGGAUCUAUACCGUCCUUGGGAGCUGGUCUCAUCUUCGGUUCCAUUUUAGGUGUUGGAGCAUACCAGCUCAGUCAAGACGCCUCAAACUACACUCUCAUGUUGGGCACCACGUCUGCUCUCGGCGGUCUUAUGGGUUACAGGUACUACAACAGCAGGAAGUUCAUGCCAGCAGGUCUAGUUUUCUGUCUGUCCGUUGGUAUGCUGGCUAAAAUAGUCUUCAAACAUGUUGGUGCACAAACCCCGCUCGCUACGAAAGGAUAAUCACGAUAAUAAACCUUUUUAUUUCCAAACUCUUUGGGCAACAUUCGAUGAAAUUUGAAAAUAGAAGAGAAACUGGCCUGAAAUGAAAUAAAAAGGUUUUAUUUUUUAAGUGAACCAGUGAUUACAUUUAUUUGAAAUGGUUUGGACUGUUAUUUGAAUACAUUUUUUUUUCAAUGUUAAAAUGUCUGUAACUUUAUUUUUAAAUUUACCUAUGAUACGUUUUUGUAUAUUUUGUAGGGUAGAUAUGGCGCUGCACAAAAUAAGUGCAAUAAUUAUGUGUUCAAUUGUUUGCGUUGACAGUUUAAUUUAUACCCAUUGUUUAUACCGAUUUUGUAAAACUUAGUUAGGUACAAGUUAAGUAUGAUUUUGUAAAUGGUGUUGGGAA
rnacentral:misc_RNA from 1 species